rnacentral:miRNA from 1 species
GUUGGCGACAAGCCGCGGAAAGGGCGCACAUCCCGUAAAGUAUAUAGUACGAUGUACGCCCUUCCUCGGCUCGUUGCUGAU